GUAGUCAUAUGCUUGUCUCAAAGAUUAAGCCAUGCAUGUCUAAGUAUAAGCAAUUAUACCGUGAAACUGCGGAUGGCUCAUUAAAUCAGUUAUCGUUUAUUUGAUAGUACCUUACUACUUGGAUAACCGUGGUAAUUCUAGAGCUAAUACAUGCUGAAAACCCCAACUUCGGGAGGGGUGUAUUUAUUAGAUAAAAAACCAACGCCCUUCGGGGCUUCUUGGUGAUUCAUGAUAACUUCACGGAUCGCAUGGCCUUGCGCCGGCGACGGUUCAUUCAAAUUUCUGCCCUAUCAACUUUCGAUGGUAAGGUAUUGGCUUACCAUGGUUUCAACGGGUAACGGGGAAU
rnacentral:rRNA from 1 species